GCCUAGGGCAUGAGCCUGGGUAGAGCCACUACAUGUGAGGACUUCACCUAAUUCAGCAGAUACUACAGGCAGGCCUGAUAGCAGCUGGAUAGCUUGGCUUCCUGGCCCUACAGGGCACAUUAAGAUUCAAUCAUGAAAUUCCAGCAAAGGUAGUUGGUUACCAUUCUUGUUGAUUUUAUGCAAUCAUCAUGGUAUUGAGAAAUAUUAAUAGUAAAUUGGGGUCUUUGUAAUGGUACUAGAUUUAUUAUCAAAAGAUUAUGACCUAACAUAAUUGAAGCUGAAGUAUUAGCAGGAUCUGCAGAGGGAGAGGUUGUUCUGAUUUCAAGAAUUGAUUUGUCCCAUCUGACACUGGCCUCCCAUUUAAAUUAAUUCAACGAUAGUUUCUCAAGAUGCCAGAAUUUGUGAUGACUAUUAAUAAAUCACAAAGACAAACUCUAAAAAGAGUAGGAAUAUUCUGACCUGAACCAGUUUUUGCACAUGGUCAGUUAUAUGUUGCUUUCUCUUAGUUCAAAGAGCAUGUGACUUUAAGGUUAAAGUUGUAAAUACUUCAUCCCAAGGGAAAUUAGUCAAGCACUCUGAAAGUGUUUUCACUCUAAAUGUGGUAUACAGGGAGAUAUUUGAAUAAGUUUAAUCACUUUAUCAGUUAUUGUUUGCAUCAAUGUUGUUUUUAUAUCAUGUUUUUUUGCUAUUUUUAUAUCAUGUGUUUGUUUUUAUAUCAUUUUGUCAUUGUUUAUACUA